rnacentral:rRNA from 1 species
GACGAACGCUGGCGGCGUGCCUAACACAUGCAAGUCGAGCGAGUGAAUCUCCUUCGGGAGUGAAGCUAGCGGCGGACGGGUGAGUAACACGUGGGCAACCUGCCUCAUAGAGGGGAAUAGCCUUUCGAAAGGAAGACUAAUACCGCAUAAGAUUGUAGCUUCGCAUGAAGUAGCAAUUAAAGGAGCAAUCCGCUAUGAGAUGGGCCCGCGGCGCAUUAGCUAGUUGGUGAGGUAACGGCUCACCAAGGCGACGAUGCGUAGCCGACCUGAGAGGGUGAUCGGCCACAUUGGGACUGAGACACGGCCCAGACUCCUACGGGAGGCAGCAGUGGGGAAUAUUGCACAAUGGGGGAAACCCUGAUGCAGCAACGCCGCGUGAGUGAUGACGGCCUUCGGGUUGUAAAGCUCUGUCUUCAGGGACGAUAAUGACGGUACCUGAGGAGGAAGCCACAGCUAACUACGUGCCAGCCGCCGCCGUAA